rnacentral:tRNA from 1 species
AAGGAUUUAAGUUAAAUUAAACUCUCAGCCUUCAAAGCUGUAAAUAUAGAUUCCCUUUAAGCCUUA